GAUUAACGCUGGCGGCGUACCUAAUACAUGCAAGUCGAGCGAACAGACUAGGAGCUUGCUCCUCUGACGUUAGCGGCGGACGGGUGAGUAACACGUGGAUAACCUACCUAUAAGACUGGGAUAACUUCGGGAAACCGGAGCUAAUACCGGAUAAUAUAUUGAACCGCAUGGUUCAAUAGUGAAAGACGGUUUUGCUGUCACUUAUAGAUGGAUCCGCGCCGCAUUAGCUAGUUGGUAAGGUAACGGCUUACCAAGGCAACGAUGCGUAGCCGACCUGAGAGGGUGAUCGGCCACACUGGAACUGAGACACGGUCCAGACUCCUACGGGAGGCAGCAGUAGGGAAUCUUCCGCAAUGGGCGAAAGUCUGACGGAGCAACGCCGCGUGAGUGAUGAAGGUCUUCGGAUCGUAAAACUCUGUUAUUAGGGAAGAACAAAUGUGUAAGUAACUAUGCACGUCUUGACGGUACCUAAUCAGAAAGCCACGGCUAACUACGUG
rnacentral:rRNA from 1 species